rnacentral:misc_RNA from 1 species
GUUGUGUCACCUACCAACACUCAAUCUUUUCAUGGGGUUGUUGUAUUGGGGGUGGAGAUUGGUUUCCCGUUUCNCUGAUGCGGUUGGCUAAAAUAGGAAUUCCAUUUCAAAUGAACACGCGAUUAGUGGUGGUUGUGAAGACCCUCUAUUGAGUUGUGAGUUCAUAGGGAAAGAAUAACCCUAAAAUAACCUGAUGUGCUNNNNGUAUGAGGCNNNGACU